GUGACUCCUCCGUGCGGAAACAGAACUUUCCCCUACAGAAGUUUCAGCCACUCCUCUUCUGCUCCGGGGAAUGGGAAGGAGUUCCGGGCCUCAUAACAAAGCAGAAGCCUCCAGAAACGGCAUCUCCCUGAGCUUGGAGGCCUCUGUGCCUGCCGCCUUCGCAGCUGUUGCAGUGUCAUCUGGCCGGGAUCCCUCGAGCCGGCAGGGACUUGAGAUGACAGAACGCUGAAGUGUCACGGGCGCCACAGACGCCACGUUCAGAAAACCGGCUCUGGACCCGCAUCGCGUGGCCCGCGCUGACAGUGUCUUUUUGGCAACCGUCGCGUCUCUGAUCUCACAGCAAUGACGACGCGAGCAUUCUUGUUGCGGGCACCGCGUGUGUGCGGUGGGGUCCUCUUGACACAUGUUCACAAUCAAAACGCCUUUUCCCCCCUUGCCUUGACCCCUAGGGAAAAAAGGAUGAACAUUUUUCUCAAGAUGCUGUUUUAACGGCCGAGGCCUGCCUGAGUGUUCGCUCUGCUUUUGUUCUGUUUUCUUUUCUCCUUUUAUUAAAAGAGGCCUUUUAA